GAUGAACGCUAGCUACAGGCUUAACACAUGCAAGUCGCAGGACUGGCGCACGGGUGCGUAACGCGUAUCCAACCUUCCCAUAACUACUGGAUAACCCGUUGAAAGACGUCCUAAUACCGUAUGGUUAUGGAUGGGGCUGCGUCUGAUUAGCUUGUUGGCGGGGUAACGGCCCACCAAGGCGGCGAUCAGUAGGGGUUCUGAGAGGAAGGUCCCCAGCAUUGGAACUGAGGCACAGACAAAACUCGUAGGGGAGGGAGAAGAGAGGAAGAGUGUUAAAUGGAAGAGAGCCUGAACCAGCCAAGUAGCGGGCAGGAGGACGGGGUAUGGGUGGUAAACUGCUGUUAUGUGGGGAGAGGUACCACAUGAAUAAGGACCGGCUAAUUCCGUGCCAGCAGCCGCGGUAAUAC
rnacentral:rRNA from 1 species